rnacentral:lncRNA from 1 species
AGUUUGGGGUUGUACGCGGGAAAAUUGAAAAAAAAAAGCAAAUGAAAAGCAUUGAGCUCAAAUAAUGUGAAAAGAAAAAAUUCAUGAGAAAAAGAAAAGAAAAGAAGAAAAGCAUGAAGAAGAGCUCAAUGCAAAAGAAAAAGAAAAGGGAAAAGUUGGGAAUGAGAGAGAUUGGUGAGAGAGUUGUGUUUAAAUAUUGAGUAUGUUGUUAGCUCUCUUGACUCAAGGAUUUUGCAUUCUAGAAAAACCAAUUUUUCUUGUUAGUCCAACCUCAUUACAAGCCUUGGAAAAGUCCUUUUGAUGACAUUCGCAUGUAAAGAUGUUGGUUGUUUGAGAUGAAUGGCAAUUUCGUUUCAUGUAACUUGUGAACAAUAGAGAGUGGAGUGUCACCUUAAACACUUGAGGGAUUGAGUGAAACACUUGCUUGGUAUGAUUUGUUAAUUUUCAUGAGUACAUUUUUUCUUAAUGGAUUGAUCAUUCAUAGUGUAGAACAUCUAUUGUGCAAUCUCUGGAUUGAAAGCAUGCAUGCAUCUUAUUUUGGAUUUCACUGAGGAUAUUGAAUUGAGUGGUUUUGUCAUGUACCUCGGGAUUGUUGAGGCAUUGGAUGAAACAG